ACAGCUCUCUCCACAGUAUUUGAGUCAGGACGAGGUCUGGACUUUGACUGGACUGCUGCAACACCUUGAUUCUUUUCUUUCUCCAGCCGUUCAGUUGUAGAUUUGCUGGUGUGCUUGGGAUCAUUAUCCUCUGCAUGACCCACUCUUGGGCAAGCUUUAGCUGUCGGACGGAUGUCCCUACAUUUGACUCUAGAAUACUUUGGGAUACAGAGGAGCUCAUGGCCGACUCUAUGACUGUGAGGUCCCCAGGUCCUGUGGCUACAAGACAAGCCCAAAAUCGUCAGCCCCCUAUCAGCAUGUGUGGCAUUUGGUGUGAGGUGUUUGUGGUUUUCACAAGUGUGGUGUUGUACUUUAUGGCCAAACAUCUCCACUUCGGUCUCAUCUGUUCAGAGGACAUUGUUCUAGAAGUCUUAUAGAUUGUUCAGAUGCAGCUUUGCAAACCUAAACCAUGCUGUCUUGUUUCUUUAGAGAGCACACAAGCAAGUCUUCCAAAUAUUACAUACUUGUGCCAUAUUUUAUCAUUGAACAUGGUUACUUAGGCCUUGUAAAUUUCCUGUGACGUCCAUUUCUGGGAAUAGUAGUGUCUGUUUUGAAUGUCUUCUACUUGUGAAUAAUCUGCCUCACUUUAUAAUGACAGACUAUUUGUAACUUUGUCACCGUGGCUUUUCCAUCUUGGCUUUAUUUUUGUUAAAUAAACAAUGGCAUGGUGCGAUAUGUCAUGUGAUGUUGUUCAUCUGAGGUUUUAUUUUCCUAAAUUUAAGACAUGCCAAGAACCAGAUAUUGUUAUGGUGCCCUGAAAGAGAAAACCAUGGAAUUCAAUGGGGUGUAACUUUUUCACAUGUGGGUCAAAGAUGAGAUGUCACACUUUGGUGUUUAAUUAACUAAAGUUUUUAAAUUUUGACAUUUCGUUUUUCGAAAGGCGGGCCUUCGCUGCUCCGGGUGUAUGAUCACAGUGUGUGUGUGUGUGUGUGUGUGCUCACUGCACAUAGAAUAAAGUAAAGUAAAAUAAAGUCCUUUCAAGAUAUUUAAAGGAAUUUAUUUACAUGAUCAGAUGAGAAUUCUGCUUCAUUGUCCUGUUUUCUGUACUGUUUAACAAAAAAGAUUGUCAAGCUUGUGUGUGUGAACUUGUGUGUGAAAUUGUAAGCUUGUGUAAAAUACUUCUAUUGGUUUCCUCAAUAAAGAUACUCAAGUGUGAAA